ACGGGGUGCAGCAGGCGCGAAAACUUCACAAUGUGGGAAACCGCGAUGAGGGGAUUCCAAGUGCUUGCGUUUUGCGUAAGCUGUUCUCCUGCCUAAAAAGCAGGGGGAGUAAGGGCUGGGUAAGACGGGUGCCAGCCGCCGCGGUAAUACCCGCAGCCCAAGUGGUGGUCGAUAUUAUUGAGCUUAAAGCGUCCGUAGCCUGUCUGGUAAAUUCUUGGGUAAAUCGUGCAGCUUAACUGUCCGAAUUCCGGGGAGACUGCCAGACUUGGGACCGGGAGAGGUUGGAGGUACUCCUGGGGUAGGGGUAAAAUCCCGUAAUCCUGGGAGGACCAUCAGUGGCGAAGGCGUCCAACUGGAACGGAUCCGACGGUCAGGGACGAAGCCCUGGGUCGCGAACUGGAUUAGAUACCCAGGUAGUCCAGGGUGUAAACGCUGCAGACUUGGUGUCGGAGGUCCUACGAGGGCGUCCGGUGCCGGAGAGAAAUUGUUAAGUCUGCCGCUUGGGGAGUACGUCCGCAAGG
rnacentral:rRNA from 1 species